rnacentral:rRNA from 1 species
AACGAACGCUGGCGGCAUGCCUAACACAUGCAAGUCGAACGAGACCUUCGGGUCUAGUGGCGCACGGGUGCGUAACGCGUGGGAACCUGCCCUUAGGUUCGGAAUAACUCCCCGAAAGGGGUGCUAAUACCGGAUAAUGUCUUCGGACCAAAGAUUUAUCGCCUUUGGAUGGGCCCGCGUUGGAUUAGCUAGUUGGUAGGGUAAAAGCCUACCAAGGCGACGAUCCAUAGCUGGUCUGAGAGGAUGAUCAGCCACACUGGGACUGAGACACGGACCAGACUCCUACGGGAGGCAGCAGUGGGGAGUAUUGGACAAGGAGCGAAAGUCUGAUCCAGCAAUGCCGCGUGAGUGAUGAAGGCCUUAGGGUUGUAAAGCUCUUUUACCCGGGAUGAUAAUGACAGUACCGGGAGAAUAAGCUCCGGCUAACUCCGUG